rnacentral:rRNA from 1 species
UGCGUAGGCGGCCCGGAAAGUUGGGUGUGAAAGCCCUCGGCUCAGCCGAGGAAUUGCGUCCAAAACUACCGGGCUUGAGGAAGAUAGAGGUAAGCGGAACUUAGGGUGGAGCGGUGAAAUGCGUUGAUAUCCUAAGGAACACCAGGAGCGAAAGCGGCUUACUGGGUCUUUUCUGACGCUGAUGCACGAAAGCUAGGGGAGCGAACGGGAUUAGAUACCCCGGUAGUCCUAGCCGUAAACGAUGAGCACUGGAUUGGAGGGUCCCCCAUAACCCUCUAGUCGUAGCGAAAGUGUUAAGUGCUCCGCCUGGGGAGUAUGGUCGCAAGGCUGAA